rnacentral:rRNA from 1 species
AAGACCUUGCACUUUUGGAGCGGCCGAUGUCUGAUUAGCUAGUUGGUGGGGUAAUGGCCUACCAAAGCUUCGAUCAGUAGCUGGUCUGAGAGGACGGCCAGCCACACUGGGACUGAGACACGGCCCAGACUCCUACGGGAGGCAGCAGUGGGGAAUUUUGGACAAUGGGCGCAAGCCUGAUCCAGCCAUGCCGCGUGAGUGAAGAAGGCCUUCGGGUUGUAAAGCUCUUUCAGCCGGGAAGAAAAGGUUGCGACUAAUAAUCGCAACCCAUGACGGUACCGAAAGAAGAAGCACCGGCUAACUACGUGCCAGCAGCCGCGGUAAUACGUAGGGUGCGAGCGUUAAUCGGAAUUACUGGGCGUAAAGGGUGCGCAGGCGGUUUUGUAAGUCAGAUGUGAAAUCCCCGGGCUUAACCUGGGAACU